AACGAACGCUGGCGGCAUGCCUAACACAUGCAAGUCGAACGAUGCCUUCGGGCAUAGUGGCGCACGGGUGCGUAACGCGUGGGAAUCUGCCUUUCGGUUCGGAAUAACUCAGAGAAACUUGAGCUAAUACCGGAUAACGUCGCAAGACCAAAGAUUUAUCACCGAAAGAUGAGCCCGCGUAGGAUUAGCUAGUUGGUGAGGUAAAGGCUCACCAAGGCGACGAUCCUUAGCUGGUCUGAGAGGAUGAUCAGCCACACUGGGACUGAGACACGGCCCAGACUCCUACGGGAGGCAGCAGUGGGGAAUAUUGGACAAUGGGCGAAAGCCUGAUCCAGCAAUGCCGCGUGAGUGAUGAAGGCCGUAGGGUUGUAAAGCUCUUUUACCCGGGAAGAUAAUGACGGUACCGAGAGAAUAAGCCCCGGCUAACUCCGUG
rnacentral:rRNA from 1 species